rnacentral:rRNA from 1 species
UACGAAGGGGGCUAGCGUUGCUCGGAAUCACUGGGCGUAAAGGGUGCGUAGGCGGGUCUUUAAGUCAGGGUGAAUCCUGGAGCUCAACUCCAGAACUGCCUUUGAUACUGAAGAUCUUGAGUUCGGGAGAGGUGAGUGGGAACUGCGAGUGUAGAGGUGAAAUUCGUAGAUAUUCGCAAGAACACCAGUGGCGAAGGCGGCUCACUGGCCCGAUACUGACGCUGAGGCACGAAAGCGUGGGGAGCAAACAGGG